rnacentral:rRNA from 1 species
AUAGGGGAGCCGUAGAGAAAUCGAGUCUUAAUAGGGCGUUUAGUUGCUGGGUAUAGACCCGAAACCAGGCGAUCUAUCCAUGAGCAGGUUGAAGGUUGGGUAACACUAACUGGAGGACCGAACCCACUGUCGUUGAAAAGCCAGGGGAUGACUUGUGGAUAGGGGUGAAAGGCUAAUCAAGCCUGGUGAUAGCUGGUUCUCCCCGAAAGCUAUUUAGGUAGCGCCUCGGACGAAUACCAUAGGGGGUAGAGCACUGUUUCGGCUAGGGGGUCAUCCCGACUUACCAAACCGAUGCAAACUCCGAAUACCUAUGAGUACUAUCCGGGAGACAGACUGCGGGUGCUAACGUCCGUAGUCAAGAGGAAAACAAUCCAGACCGCCAGCUAAGGCCCCAAAAUCAUAGUUAAGUGGGAAACGAUGUGGGAAGGCAUAGACAGCUAGGAGGUUGGCUUAGAAGCAGCCACCCUUUAAAGAAAGCGUAAUAGCUCACUAGUCGAGUCGGCCUGCGCGGAAGAUGUAACGGGGCUAAAACUAUGUGCCGAAGCUGCGGAUGUAUACUUUGUAUACGUGGUAGGGGAGCGUUCUGUAAGCCGAUGAAGGUGUGUUGAGAAGCAUGCUGGAGGUAUCAGAAGUGCGAAUGCUGACGUGAGUAACGACAAAACGGGUGAAAAACCCGUUCGCCGAAAGACCAAGGGUUCCAGUCCAACGUUAAUCGGGGCUGGGUGAGUCGACCCCUAAGGCGAGGCCGAAAGGCGUAGUCGAUGGGAAAAUGGUUAAUAUUCCAUUACUUCUGUGUAAUGCGAUGAGAGGACGGAGAAGGCUAAAUCAGCCUGGCGUUGGUUGUCCAGGUGAAAGGAUGUAGGCAUGUAUCUUAGGCAAAUCCGGGGUACUCUAUGCUGAGAUCUGAUAGCAAGCUGUACUUGUACAGCGAAGUGGUUGAUGCCAUGCUUCCAGGAAAAGUCUCUAAGCUUCAGUUACACAGGAAUCGUACCCGAAACCGACACAGGUGGUCAGGUCGAGUAGACCAAGGCGCUUGAGAGAACUCUGCUGAAGGAACUAGGCAAAAUGGUACCGUAACUUCGGGAGAAGGUACGCUGUUGUUGGUGAUGGAACUCGCUUCCUGAGCUGACGACAGCCGCAGAAACCAGGCCGCUGCAACUGUUUAUUAAAAACAUAGCACUCUGCAAACACGAAAGUGGACGUAUAGGGUGUGAUGCCUGCCCGGUGCUGGAAGGUUAAUUGAUGGGGUUAGCGUAAGCGAAGCUCUUGAUCGAAGCCCCAGUAAACGGCGGCCGUAACUAUAACGGUCCUAAGGUAGCGAAAUUCCUUGUCGGGUAAGUUCCGACCUGCACGAAUGGCAUAAUGAUGGCGGCGCUGUCUCCAGCAGAGGCUCAGUGAAAUCGAAAUCGCUGUGAAGAUGCAGUGUACCCGCGGCUAGACGGAAAGACCCCGUGAACCUUUACUGCAGCUUGACACUGAACUUUGACCUUACUUGUGUAGGAUAGGUGGGAGGCUUUGAAGCUGGAACGCUAGUUCCAGUGGAGCCGUCCUUGAAAUACCACCCUGGUAAUGUUGAGGUUCUAACUCUGUCCCGUGAUCCGGGACGAGGACCGUGUCUGGUGGGUAGUUUGACUGGGGCGGUCUCCUCCUAAAGAGUAACGGAGGAGUACGAAGGUGCGCUCAGCGUGGUCGGAAAUCACGCGUAGAGUAUAAAGGCAAAAGCGCGCUUAACUGCGAGACCCACAAGUCGAGCAGGUACGAAAGUAGGUCUUAGUGAUCCGGUGGUUCUGUAUGGAAGGGCCAUCGCUCAACGGAUAAAAGGUACUCUGGGGAUAACAGGCUGAUACCGCCCAAGAGUUCAUAUCGACGGCGGUGUUUGGCACCUCGAUGUCGGCUCAUCUCAUCCUGGGGCUGAAGCAGGUCCCAAGGGCAUGGCUGUUCGCCAUUUAAAGAGGUACGCGAGCUGGGUUUAGAACGUCGUGAGACAGUUCGGUCCCUAUCUACCGUGGGCGCUGGAAAUUUGAGAGGAUCUGCUCCUAGUACGAGAGGACCAGAGUGGACGAACCUCUGGUGUACCGGUUGUGACGCCAGUCGCAUCGCCGGGUAGCUAUGUUCGGAAGGGAUAACCGCUGAAAGCAUCUAAGCGGGAAGCCUACCUCAAGAUAAGAUUUCCCUAGGACUUUAUGUCCUCUAAAGAGCCGUUCGAGACUAGGACGUUGAUAGGUUGGAUGUGGAAGCAUAGUGAUAUGUGAAGCUGACCAAUACUAAUUGCUCGUGAGGCUUGACUA